GACGAACGCUGGCGGCGUGCUUAACACAUGCAAGUCGAACGGAAAGGCCCUGCUAUUGUGGGGUGCUCGAGUGGCGAACGGGGGAGUAACACGUGAGUAACCUGCCCUUGACUUUGGGAUAACUUCAGGAAACUGGGGCUAAUACCGGAUAGGAGCUCCUGCUGCAUGGUGGGGGUUGGAAAGUUUCGGCGGGUGGGGAUGGACUCGCGGCUGAUCAGCUUGUUGGUGGGGUAGUGGCUUACCAAGGAUUUGACGGGUAGCCGGCCUGAGAGGGUGACCGGCCACAUUGGGACUGAGAUACGGCCCAGACUCCUACGGGAGGCAGCAGUGGCGAAUAUUGCACAAUGGGCGGAAGCCUGAUGCAGCAACGCCGCGUGCGGGAUGACGGCCUUCGGGUUGUAAACCGCUUUCGCCUGUGACGAAGCGUGAGUGACGGUAAUGGGUAAAGAAGCACCGGCUAACUACGUG
rnacentral:rRNA from 1 species